UUCCUGCUGACCUGCAAGCUAGUCCUUGCGGUGUGCCGGCGCCGGCGCCAGAGCAGCGCCGCCAUGCCCGUACGGCGGGUAGCUCACGCCGUAACCGGCAUUAUGCCACGGGGACGGUGGGCCAAAUCCUUGACGGUUUCCCGCCCCUUCUUGCUCUCCCCCGCCAGACUCGUGACCAACUGCAUGCACCGAUCGAUGGCAUCAGUCCGAAUGAUAUACCAGAACAAACAGCGCUACGUACGUAGUAUAAGAAAUUAAGAACUACUCGUAGUAGAGGAAGGAGACGCGGUGGUUACGUACGUUUGUCGUUGGCAUAGCAUGGGCAUGGCAGCAUCAGGGAGCAGCAGCAUACGAUCACCACGAGGAUUGCCACGGCGCGUGCGAGGAGCGAGGACGUCGACGAAGAAGAAGACCGCUUCAUGGCCGACGAUCCUGCGUGCCCAGCAGCGAGCUUCUCAAGAAAUGACUCGGUCUCUCUUUCUGGCUGGGUUGCUCCUAGUAAGUAC
rnacentral:lncRNA from 1 species